UACGAACCGUCCAAACGUUAUUCGGAAUUACUGGGCUUAAAGGGUGCGUAGGCGGCGCGGAAAGUUGGGUGUGAAAUCCCUCGGCUUAACCGAGGAACUGCGCCCAAAACUACCGUGCUCGAGGGAGAUAGAGGUGAGCGGAACUUAGGGUGGAGCGGUGAAAUGCGUUGAUAUCCUAAGGAACACCGGUGGCGAAAGCGGCUCACUGGAUCUUUUCUGACGCUGAGGCACGAAAGCUAGGGUAGCGAACGGG
rnacentral:rRNA from 1 species